rnacentral:lncRNA from 1 species
AGAAAUCGUCGUAAGGUAAGAUUCAAGAUUCCAUGUAGAGUAGGAAUGUACUACGUACUGCUGAUUAACUUACACAUGUAGCUUCCAUUGAAUACAGUGGUAAAAUUGGAAAUAUAAAUCAAUGUUAAAACUUGAAUGUUUGUACAUAUAUCAUACCAUGAAUAUGCAAUAAUCCAAUCAAAUUAUUCCCCCCAUCAAACAUUAUUUCGUAUUAUGCUUCGAAUAAACUAAUAAAUCAUGUAUCUGCUGGAAUGCAUGGCUAGUGGCCUUAUUGCACUUUAUACUCAAUAACAAAUAUUGUAACACAUUAGCCUCUCUUGAAGGAACCAUUCUUUCUCUUGCUUGAUGAGCUUCUCAACUUCUUCUUUGCACUCUGAAUGAAAUCUGAAAACUCCUUGUUUUGGUUAUCCCUACCAUUAGCUUCCUCAUCAUCAGAUUCUGGUGCAGGUGCAACGUUGCUCUGCUCUCGACCCAAGUGGGACACGCUCCUGGUUUUAUACUUGGCAUGUCGAAUGAAAGUGGUGAAAGUUUCAUCGUUAUCGAGUGGGGUGUUAUCUGCGUACACCCCACUACCAUGCUGUCCCUUCCAAGUGCCUACGGUCUCUGUCUUGGGUUUGGCUAUGUAUCUAGCAGCAGACCUCCCCAUCCUUGGUUCAUAGCCAGGUUCAGUAGAAACAACCCUUGUGACCUGCCCAUGAACCUUUGAAUUUGAUGAGCUCUUAUUCCCCAUGGAUAUGGUGCAGGCUAGUUUUGGUAUAACUGUUUGAUGCAAGGUAUAUGGUUCUCAAACUUGCUUAAGCUCAGAAGAUUUGAGUUGAGUGUAACUUGAAAGAAGGACCAUAUAUAUAUAAGAUUGUUCCAUGGUGUAGAUUAGGAAACUAGAAAGAAAGCACGAAAUAUGAAACACGUUUUCCACUGUGAGCUUUGUUGGAACCAAUUCUAAGAAGCUAUCUAGUUAAUAAGAUUCCCAACAGCAAUAAGGAAGAGCUUUUUCUAAUUUUCCACGGAAUAUAAUGGUGCUAAACUCAAAAGUAAACAAAGUACUAAUAUUAUCGCAUCAUAACUUGUAACAUUGUAUGUUCAGCCAAAUUUAGCGGUCCUUAAGAAAAAGAGUGAUGUUAUACGUAGUUACCCAUUUAUCAGUAUAUAUUAUUUCUCUCUUAUCAUUUUCAAUAAUUCGUUAUAUGUAUAUCAUGCAAAAAUUUUACAUUUUUUUUUAAUCUUUCUUUUAAUGACACCAUAUAUAAUUUAUUUUAGUUAUAUUUUGACUCGUUCUCUCUCGGUAUCAUUUAUGUUAGAGGUCAAUGAAUUAUUUUGCUGAGGAGAAAAAACUAAGGGAAAUGGGAGUUUCCGAAGGUGCAGCUAGAUGGUAUCAGAUUCCUAAAGCAAUAAUUCAGAAUUGGCGAAAUAAACAAAGUGCGGUUGCAGUUUGCAAGAAUCAUCACAUCAUGCGAGUGUUCCAAGUAGGAUGCGUAUGUGGUUCCAUUACCCUAAUGGAGUCCAUAUUCGUGUCUUUCUAGAGCAAAUUAAACAAGUAAUCGCAAUUAUUGAACUACAAAUUACAAUAAAGAGAGCCAGGACAUACCAAAAAAACAAGAAGAAUCCGCUUUGUGAUAUUUCUAGAGUUUUAUCUUAAACCGAAUCCUAAUUCUUAAUUAAUCUGUACAUUAAAAAGGAUGUGUGGAGUCCCCGAAAAUUCUGUACUUUUUUUUGUCUCUAGUGAUUGUCCAUGAUUUCUGAUACCAACCAUCCUUAAUCUAAUAAUGCAGAUACGUUCAAUCUAAAUUCUGGUUAGUUUUGUUAAAAUGUAACUCUAGUGGUUGAGAUUUACUUCCAUAUUAAUGCUUUGAUUACAUUUUUCAAUUACUUCCACAAUCAGGAGAGGCCUGAUUUGUAUCUUAUAAGCCUAUUUCCAUAAAUCUACAAAUUACAAGAAUGCUUACUCACGACAUCCUUGUAAAUUAUUACCGGACAAAAUCAUUAUUAGACUUAAUUACAGGAAUAUAAUCACUAUUAAUGAGUCUAUAAUUAAACUUAAUUAUAGGAAUAUAAUCACUAUUAAUGGGUCUAUAAUUAGUCUUAAUUACAGAUGUUAUGUUAGAAAAAGAAUCUGUACGAUUCUAAUGUUAUGGUUAUAUAUAUAUAUAUGUAUCAUUGCUAUAGAUGAAAGACAGAUUGAAUAAAACAGAAAAUAUUCUUUCAUAAACCUACCAAAGAGAAAGAAUAGAAACCGCCAAACAAAUCAACAAACCAAGAACGUGCAGUUCUCAAGAAACAAGAAAUGUAACAAUGCAAAAGAGUAAAACACAGUAGAAUUAAAGAGAAAUAAAAGGAGAACGACACGAUUUAUCGUAAUUUGAUUAACUUCGUAUAAGAAGAUUGAACAAACUAUAUGAAUCAGAGUAAUGAAACAAAUUGUUGCAUCAGACUAAGCAUAAGACAACUUAGUCUGAACAUCUAAACACCGUCGUAAGAAUGGACAAAUUUUGAGUUACAGACAACAUUAAUAAUCACACUCCGGAAGCUCGCAUAUCAUGGUUUGUGUAUGUCAACGUAGGAAAUUGGUUAGACCUAAGACUUAAUUAAUCAUUCUGCAAGUAUCGCAAAUCCAAAGCUCUCACAAUCACACUCACUGCAAGGAAGACUCCAUUCCAAGGAUGUCAUACCUCAUAGCAAUUAUAGUGAAGCUUACAGUAAACCUCAUAUAUAACAAGUACAAUUUGCUUAUUCUUCUUAAAUUAAUUUUUUUUUUGUUAAUUUUUGUUUAGAAAAUAUUUAUUUUGAAAAGAAGCUAACUGAAAAUUUAGCAUAAAUUUAAUUAUAUAUAUAAGAUUUUAGUCAAAACACAGCCUCCCAAAAUCAAUUAAAUGAAGACAAUUCAAGAAGCAUGAACCCUGGAAUUAAAACUAUAUUAAAUAUACACACUUUUUUUCUGAGGAACAUAUGUACAUCCCUUCGGAGUGAUUUCAAUUAAAUCCAGUGUUAUACUAAGAACAGCAGCACGUGACAAGUUAGUAGCAGUGUAACGAAGUGCUUUUAUUAUAGUUUCAGAAAAAAAACUGCAAGGAUAUUCAAUAUUAUAAUCUGGACAGCAACAGUUAUCAAUGUACAAAUUAAAAACGUGCUUUAGGAAAACCAACAACUUUCUGUAUAAAAUGAAACCUUUGUAAUGAUAAAUAAUUACUACUUGAGAGGCCAAAUGCAUGAAUAUAUAGUAGUAACACGCACAUGAAUCAAAAAAAAGACGCACGUGAAUCAUGUUCUUGGUAUUUCUUUUAAGAAAUGCUCGUAAGGAAAAUUAACAAAUGAGGAGUUCGGUAUAAUCAUUAAAAUCAUAUAUCAUCAUUGGAAGAGUCGGGUUAAGGUAAGAAGAUUCAAGAUUAUAUGCUUAAUGCUUAAUGAUGGAAUGUUCUACCUGCUUUAAUGUCGCCCACAAAGAGGACAAAACAUUGGCCUCAGAAUUUAAAAACACUGCAGAUUAAUUACAAUUUACAAACCUUCCAUUUAAGACAAAUCAAUGUAUAUUUCAUACCAAUAAACAAUCAACCAAUCCAAAUUAUUCCCCCCAGAUAAACAUUUCACAUAUGUACUAUGCUUGAAAAAGAAAAAUAUAAUAUAAUGCUUGCAUGGCUCAGAGGCCUUAUUUUCAUGCAGAAUAUAACAAAAUAUUGGAUGGACCCACAUGUGAAAUCAUCGUCAACACAUUACUAAGACCACUCUCUUUGCGGCUCCCUGGUUUAUCAAUGGUCACUGGCCCUUGAAGGAACCAUGCUUCCUCAUGCUUGAUGUACUUCUCCACUUCUUCUUCGAAGUCUUGAUAAAAUUUGAAAACUGGUCGUUUAGGUUAUCCCUAGCAUUAGCCUUGUCGUCUGGUAGUGGUGCAGGUGCAACGUUGCUCUGCUCCCCGCCGAUGUGGGACACGGUUCUGAUUUUACCCUUGGCACGUUUAAUGAAACUGUUGAAAGUUUCAUCGUUAUCAAGUGGUGUGUUGUCUGAGUACGCCGCACUACCAUGUUGUCCCUUCCAAGCGCGUGUGGUCUCUACCUCUGGAUUAGCAACAAGCCACCUCUUCCUUGGAUCAUAGCCAGUUGAAGCAACUUUUGUUGCCUUUCCAUGAACCUUUGAAUUUGAUGAGUUCCUAUUCCCCAUGAUGCAGGUUGGUUUGAUAAGUGUUUGAUACAGAGUAUAUGGUUCUCAAACUUGGUUGAGCUCAGAAGAUUAUAA